rnacentral:rRNA from 1 species
GAAACACGGACCUAGGAGUCUAGCAUGUGCGCGAGUCAUUGGGAAUUACUAAACCUAAAGGCGCAAUGAAAGUGAAGGUUCGCCUUGCGCGAACCGAGGGAAGAUGGGCGUGCCGUGUUUACCGCGGCCGCUCCGCACUCCCGGGGCGUCUCGUUCUCAUUGCGAGAAGAGGCGCACCAAGAGCGUACACGCUGGGACCCGAAAGAUGGUGAACUAUGCCUGGUCAGGACGAAGUCAGGGGAAACCCUGAUGGAGGUCCGUAGCGAUUCUGACGUGCAAAUCGAUCGUCGGAACUGGGUAUAGGGGCGAAAGACUAAUCGAACCAUCUAGUAGCUGGUUCCCUCCGAAGUUUCCCUCAGGAUAGCUGGCGCUCGUCGCCUACGAGUCUCAUCCGGUAAAGCGAAUGAUUAGAGGCAUUGGGGUCGAAACGGCCUCAACCUAUUCUCAAACUUUAAAUGGGUGAGAUCUCCGGCUUGCUCGAACUACUGAAGCCGCGAGACACGGAUCAGAGUGCCAAGUGGGCCAUUUUUGGUAAGCAGAACUGGCGCUGUGGGAUGAACCAAACGCCGAGUUAAAGCGCCUAAAUCGACGCUUAUGGGAUACCAUGAAAGGCGUUGGUAACUUAAGACAGCAGGACGGUGGCCAUGGAAGUCGGAAUCCG